rnacentral:rRNA from 1 species
CCAAUAGCGUAUAUUAAAGUUGUUGCAGUUAAAAAGCUCGUAGUUGAAUUUCGGGGUCAGUAGGUUGGUCAUGCCACUGGUAUGUACUGGUCUCACUGAUUCCUCCUUCCUGAUGAGCCGUAAUGCCAUUAAUUUGGUGUUGCGAGGAAUCUGGACUGUUACUUUGAAAAAAUUAGAGUGUUUAAAGCAGGCUAACGCUUGAAUACAUUAGCAUGGAAUAAUGAAAUAGGACGUUCGAUCUUAUUUUGUUGGUUUCUAAGAUUGACGUAAUGAUUAAUAGGGAUAGUUGGGGGCAUUAGUAUUCAAUUGUCAGAGGUGAAAUUCUUGGAUUUAUUGAAGACUAACUACUGCGAAAGCAUUUGCCAAGGAUGUUUUCAUUAAUCAAGAACGAAAGUUAGGGGAUCGAAGACGAUCAGAUACCGUCGUAGUCUUAACCAUAAACUAUGCCGACUAGGGAUCGGAUGAUGUUAAUUUUUUAAUGGCUCAUUCGGCGCCUUACG